GAGACCAUCAGUGCUAGUACGGCUUGCAGCUUAAGGGGGCCGCGGUCUGAGGAAUGUCAACUAUUCAACAUGGAGGCGGAGGUCGAUAAGCUGGAACUGAUGUUCCAGAAAGCUGAUUCUGAUCUGGAUUACAUUCAGUACAGGCUGGAAUAUGAAAUCAAAGCUAAUCACCCUGAUUCAGCAGGCAAGAAAAAUCCAGUUACACUUUUAAAGGAAUUAACAGCCUUAAAGUCUCGAUAUCAGACCUUGUAUGCACGUUUUAAACCAGUUGUUGUUGAGCAGAAAGAGACUAAGAACCGCAUUUGUGCUACUUUGAAUAAGACUAUGACCACGGUACAAGAGUUACAAAAGCAUACAGACCUGGAGUUGUCACCACUGACCGAAGAAGAGAAAGCUGUGACCGAGCAAUUAAAAUCUCACAUGCCAGAUAUAUGAUGAAACGAAAUUUAAAAAGAGAACUCUAGAAGAGAUAAUUCUACAGCAAGAUGAUGACUGGAGCUUUGCUCUAAAUAUUGGUUCUUCCCAUGGACUCCCACCCUCCUGCCUCUGUCUUCUGAGUGGAAGAACUUCAGCUAUUGUGCCUAGUUGUCAUUGUGAAUUAAUUUCAUCAUUUGGCCUUUGCUAUCUAAUUUUUGGCUCUUAGUUGGAUCGUUUACAUUGAAGUAAGAAGAAAGAUUUGUGUUGGGAAAAACUGAGAUAGAGUUGGAUUGUGAUAUCUCCGUUAAUAUGAAGAACUACAUUUUCCAGAAUCCAUUUCUCAUACAGUUGUGUUACAAUUUGUCACUAGUCUAACUUGCAUGAGAAGCCAAAGUUGAAGGAGUUAUUAGGGUUUUGUGUCCUAUGCUUAGGGCUUGAACUUGGAAUGGGAGAGGUCCCUGAGUUAGCUAGCUCAAUGCUAGCAUUCUACUACUUGAACCACACCUCUCCUUCCAGCUUUUUUUUUUGGGGGGGGUAGUUAAUUGGAAAUAAGAGUCUCACAGACUUAAUGCCCAGGCUGGCAUUGAAUUGCAACCCUCAGAUCUUAGCCUCCUAGAGCAGCUAGGAUUAUAGUCAGGAGCCACUGGUUCCUGGCUAUUAGGUUUUGAAGCCACCAUGUAGCCACAGCAUGUGGGCAUGUGGACAUGCUUCAGCCCACUGUUCUGAUUCUUAGGCUUACCAUUGAAGACUCACCCAGACCACAUCACUUUAAUGUUUUUAGAGGUCUUGUAUUCUACAGAUUUCUCAACCAGCUCCACAUGAAACAUCUCUCCUCACUUAGGAUUUUUCUACAAAUUUUAAUAUAUGUUAGGCAGCUGACAUAGACUGCUAAAUCUGUCAUAUGCUUGCAAAUAUUCUGGUGCCAUAAUUCUCUAUGAGUUUAUAUAGGUCAGAUUUUAUGGUAAAUACUUGGUUCUUGAUGCAAUCACCAUGUAGUACCAUGAUGAUGUCAAGAGUAGAACAUUUUAAGCUAAGCAAACCUAGCUAUUCAGGAGGCUGAAAUCUGAGGAUGACAAUUUGA